rnacentral:rRNA from 1 species
UACGUAGGGGGCUAGCGUUGUCCGGAAUCAUUGGGCGUAAAGCGCGCGUAGGCGGCCCGGUAAGUCCGCUGUAAAAGUCCAGGGCUCAACCCUGGAAAGCCGGUGGAUACUGUCGGGCUCGAGUCCGGAAGAGGCGAGUGGAAUUCCUGGUGUAGCGGUGAAAUGCGCAGAUAUCAGGAAGAACACCAAUGGCGAAGGCAGCUCUCUGGGACGGUACUGACGCUGAGACGCGAAAGCGUGGGGAGCGAACAGG